rnacentral:rRNA from 1 species
GACAGAGGGUGCAAACGUUGUUCGGAAUUACUGGGCGUAAAGCGCGUGUAGGCGGCAGGGCAUGUCGGAUGUGAAAUCCCGUGGCUCAACCACGGAAGUGCACCCGAAACUGCCCAGCUUGAGUCUCGGAGAGGAAGGCGGAAUGCUUGGUGUAGAGGUGAAAUUCGUAGAUAUCAAGCGGAACACCGGUGGCGAAAGCGACUUCCUGGACCAGUACCGACGUUCAGGCACGAAAGCGUGGGGAGCAAACAGG